AUGUGGGAAACCACGAUGCGGGAAACCCAAGUGCCAGCACUAUGUGUUGGCUGUCCUCGACUGUUAGUAGGUCGGGAAGAAAGUGCUGGGUAAGACGGGUGCCAGCCGCCGCGGUAAUACCCGCAGCACAAGUGGUGGUCAUUAUUAUUGGGCCUAAAGCGUCCGUAGCUGGCCUGUUAGAUGCCUGGGUAAAUCGAUGCGCUCAACGUAUCGAAUUCCGGGUAGACCGGCAGGCUCGGGACCGGGAGAGGCGUGAGCUACUCGAGGGGUAGGGGUAAAAUCCUGUAAUCCUUCGGGGAGGACCAGUGGCGAAGGCGUCACGCUAGAACGGCUCCGACAGUGAGGGACGAAGCCCUGGGGCGCAAACCGGAUUAGAUACCCGGGUAGUCC
rnacentral:rRNA from 1 species